rnacentral:rRNA from 1 species
AAGUCGAGCGAUUUACUUCGGUAAAGAGCGGCGGACGGGUGAGUAACGCGUGGGUAACCUGCCCUGUACACACGGAUAACAUACCGAAAGGUAUGCUAAUACGAGAUAAUAUGCUUUUAUCGCAUGGUAGAAGUAUCAAAGCUCCGGCGGUACAGGAUGGGCCCGCGUCUGAUUAGCUAGUUGGUGAGGUAAUGGCUCACCAAGGCGACGAUCAGUAGCCGACCUGAGAGGGUGACCGGCCACAUUGGAACUGAGACACGGUCCAAACUCC